rnacentral:rRNA from 1 species
ACUGGUAAGAGCGAAGGCUACCUUCAAUGUAAAAACUGACGUUAAAGGACGAAGGCUAUAUUUAAAAAAUAGGAUUAGAGACCCUAGUAUUUUACGCAGAAAAUGAUGAGUGUCAUAUACAAGAUGAUUGUUUUGUGUAUAAAUGAAAGUGUAAGCACUCCACCUCAAGAGUAACGUGGCAACACGGGAACUGAAAUCAUUAGACCGUUUCUGAAACUCGUAGUGAAGUAUGUUGUUUAAUUUGAUAACCCUCAAAUAACCUUACCACAAUUUGAAUUACUAUUACAAAAUAGUAACAAGCGUUGCACGGCUGUCUUCAGUUAAUGUUGUGAAAUUUUGGUUAGAUCC